rnacentral:rRNA from 1 species
UACGUAGGGCGCAAGCGUUUGUCCGGAAUUAUUGGGCGUAAAGAGCUCGUAGGCGGUUUGUCGCGUCUGCUGUGAAAUCCCGAGGCUCAACCUCGGGUCUGCAGUGGGUACGGGCAGACUGGAGUGCGGUAGGGGAGAAUGGAAUUCCUGGUGUAGCGGUGGAAUGCGCAGAUAUCAGGAGGAACACCGAUGGCGAAGGCGGGUCUCUGGACCGACACUGACGCUGAGGCGCGAAAGCGUGGGGAGCAAACAGG